rnacentral:rRNA from 1 species
AAAUGAAUUGACGGGGGCCCGCACAAGCGGAGGAACAUGUGGUUUAAUUCGAUGAUACGCGAGGAACCUUACCUGGGCUUGAACGUAUGGCGUCGCAAGACGUAGACCUAUGAAAGUAGGCUUAAACGUACGAGGUGCUGCAUGGUUGUCGUCAGCUCGUGCCGUGAGGUGUCGGGUUAAGUCCCAUAACGAGCGCAACCCUUACUAAUAGUUGCCAACAUUUAAGGUGGGCACUCUAUUAGAACUGCCAUCGUAAGAUGAGAGGAAGGUGGGGAUGACGUCAAAUCAGCACGGCCUUUAUGUCCAGGGCUACACACGUGUUACAAUGGUAGGUACAGAGGGCAGCAAACUUGUGAAAGUAAGCCAAUCCCUAAAAGCUACCUCAGUUCGGAUUGGAGUCUGGAACUCGACUCCAUGAAGCUGGAUUCGCUAGUAACCGCACAUCAGCUAUGGUGCGGUGAAUACGUUCCCGGGCCUUGUACACACCGCCCGU